rnacentral:rRNA from 1 species
AUACGGAGGGGGUUAGCGUUGUUCGGAAUUACUGGGCGUAAAGCGUCCGCAGGCGGCCCUUCAAGUCUGCUGUUAAAACGUGGAGCUUAACUCCAUCAUGGCAGUGGAAACUGUUGGGCUUGAGUGUGGUAGGGGCAGAGGGAAUUCCCGGUGUAGCGGUGAAAUGCGUAGAUAUCGGGAAGAACACCAGUGGCGAAGGCGCUCUGCUGGGCCAUAACUGACGCUCAGUGGACGAAAGCCAGGGGAGCGAAAGGGAUUAGAUACCCUGGUAAGUCCACGCCGUAAACGAUUGAUACGUAGCUGUUCGGCCAACAAGUGGUUGGUUGAGUGGCUAAGCGAAAGUGAUAAGGUAUCCCACCUGGGGAGUACGACUCGACAAGAGUGGAAACCUCAAAGGAAUUGACGGGGCCCGCACAAGCGG